rnacentral:rRNA from 1 species
GACGAACGCUGGCGGCGUGCCUAAUACAUGCAAGUAGAACGCUGAAGGAGGAGCUUGCUUCUCUGGAUGAGUUGCGAACGGGUGAGUAACGCGUAGGUAACCUGCCUGGUAGCGGGGGAUAACUAUUGGAAACGAUAGCUAAUACCGCAUAAGAGUAGAUGUUGCAUGACAUUUGCUUAAAAGGUGCAAUUGCAUCACUACCAGAUGGACCUGCGUUGUAUUAGCUAGUUGGUGGGGUAACGGCGCACCAAGGCGACGAUACAUAGCCGACCUGAGAGGGUGAUCGGCCACACUGGGACUGGGACACGGCCCAGACUCCUACGGGAGGCAGCAGUAGGGAAUCUUCGGCAAUGGACGGAAGUCUGACCGAGCAACGCCGCGUGAGUGAAGAAGGUUUUCGGAUCGUAAAGCUCUGUUGUAAGAGAAGAACGAGUGUGAGAGUGGAAAGUUCACACUGUGACGGUAUCUUACCAGAAAGGGACGGCUAACUACGUG